AUAAAAUAUCAGUGCUGCCCUGCCCAGAAACCCCUCCCCAGCAUAGAGUGUUACUGAAACAGCUUUCAUUCAGGUAAGUUGGCAAUUUUAUCAGAGCAUAGAAGACAAUGACAAUUUCCCCACAUGCUGCAGCAGACAAUAUAAAAAGCCUCCAAGUCCUAAUACCCUCUGGCCCCAAGAACAUGUCUUACACAAAGAGCAGCUCUGCAGAGUUUGGUCCCCAGGUUACGUUAUUUUGAUGGUAGAGAAAGCCCAUAUUUCUUCUUCAGAAUUUAGAGGCGAGGGGUCAGUAGAUAGGGAGAUAAGUGAUUAAUAAAUGUGAUAAAAUGGACAUUCUGCGUUAAGCCUAAACUGCAUGGGUUUUUAGAUGAGGUUUAUGUAAGAACAUUCUUGAAUUUUUUCCAAUUACCAGUGAGGUUAGAGUAUCUGUGGAAAGCUGCCAUGCACAGACACUGGAAAAACAGAGUCAUUCCCAAUUUCUGCCACGUGGCCCCAGUGUGACCUUGCUGAUGUGUUUGAGUUUUUAGUCCCCUGGCUUAAGUGGAGAGGAGAACCCUCUUUACAAGGUUACCUUACAGAGCAGUAAUUGUCAACCCUGAUUUUGCAAAAAGCAAGAGCCUUUCUGGGAUUGUUGUGAAUUCUCAAGAGAUUUCAAACUAGCCUAGCGUGCCUCUCCCACCAGGUGCCUGCCAUUAGGAGAAGCAGUUGAGAAAUCACACCAUGAAGGGGUGGAGCAAUUCCAAAAAGAAUGCAGAAGAAAUGAAAAUGUUUGUCUUAUAUCGACCUGCCCAGGAUGCAAUAGAGAAGAACAAGACUCAAGGAGAGAAAUGGAGACUUCCCUUAAGAAAUGCAUUAACUAAAUGUCAGGUGAUACAACCCUUGAAGGUCUUCCAUCCACAACAAUUUCACUUGAAAGCUAUUUAUUUAGGAAACAGAUGACAGAAAGCCCUGGAGUUGCAGAUUAAUAUUCCCU
rnacentral:lncRNA from 1 species